AUGCCUGAGAUAAACAGAGACCACCUGGAUGCAAAGCAGGUGCAGCUGCUGAUGGAGAUGUGCAUCCUCAUGGACAAGAAAGAUUGCAGGAUCAGGGUGGAGAUCAAGAACUGUCACCUGAAGGAGAACAUUGAGAAAGGAUAACUGCAUCAGGGUUUUAGUGUCUUCCUAUUACUCAACAUUGAAAAUGAACUUGUGCUACAAUAGCGAUCAGAUUCUAAAAUUAUUUUUCCAUACUGUUUCACUGAUACUUGUUUUAGUCAUCCAUUAAGUAUCCCAAAAGAGCAUGAAAAAAAUGACACAACUGAAGUUAGAAGAGCAGCACAGAGGCCUGAACUGGGAAUUCCUGUGGAAGAGGUUCUUCCAGAAGAAAGUAAUUACCUGACACAAAUGCACUUUAAGGAUCAAUCUGAUGAUAUCUGGGGAGAACAUGAAAUUGGUGAGGAAAGAAUGUAACCUUGAAUCCAGAGCCCAUUGAGACUAAAGCUAUCAUUAUGUAUCAAAGGAAGAACUAAAGGAACUUCUGAAAAAGGCAGCCACUGGUGAAAUUAAGAUAACCCUGUGGCUUCAAAUAAUUGCAGAGACCUUUCUCUUUCAAUGGUGGGAUAAGUUAAGUCAUUUGAAUCAGUUUAUUGACCACAAGAAAAUACAAAGAAUGUAA